UUCUGUUCCGGGCACUAAAAUCCCAGCUGCCAGGGACAAACCAAGCCCCUGCUCUCGUGGAGCUUACCUUCUAGUCGUGGGAAGCCGAAAAUGCACAGUUAAGCCAGUGACAGCCUGGAGAAGGAGGAGCAGGCGGAAGCAGAAGCACCAGGCGAGGCUGCUGCGAUGGUGCUGGGGCAACGUUGUCCCAUCCUGGGCAACAAACCACAUUGGUAUUCUCA